rnacentral:rRNA from 1 species
AAUGAACGCUGGCGGCGUGCUUUACACAUGCAAGUUGAGCGAGGCCACCCGCAAGGGUGAGUCGAGCGGCGAACGGGUGAGUAACGCGUGGAUGACCUGCCCUUUAGUGGGGAAUAACCCGGGGAAACUCGGGCUAAUACCGCAUAAGACCGAGAGGUGAAAGCGGGGUCGCAAGAUCUCGUGCUAAUGGAGGGGUCCGCGUUCGAUUAGCUAGUUGGUAGGGUAAUGGCCUACCAAGGCGACGANCGAUAGCCGGCCUGAGAGGGUGAUCGGCCACACUGGAACUGAGACACGGUCCAGACUCCUACGGGAGGCAGCAGUGGGGAAUCUUGCGCAAUGGGCGAAAGCCUGACGCAGCGACGCCGCGUGAGGGAUGACGGCCUUCGGUUG